AGGACUAACGCUGGCGGCGUGCCUAACACAUGCAAGUCGAACGAGGGGUAGCAAUACCCCUAGUGGCAGACGGGUGAGUAACACGUAGUCAACCUACCUCUUAAUGGGGGAUAACUAGCCGAAAGGUUAGCUAAUACCGCAUACGAUCGUCGAGUGGCAUCACACGACGAUGAAAGGAGCAAUCCGUUGAGAGAGGGGACUGCGUCCCAUUAGUUAGUUGGUGGGGUAAUGGCCUACCAAGACUCCGAUGGGUAGCUGGCUUGAGAGAGCGACCAGCCACACUGGAACUGAGACACGGUCCAGACUCCUACGGGAGGCAGCAGUGAGGAAUUUUCCGCAAUGGGGGAAACCCUGACGGAGCGACGCCGCGUGUGGGAAGAAGGCCUUCGGGUCGUAACCACUGUCGAGGGGGACGAUAUUGACGGUACCCCUGGAGGAAGCCCGGCUAACUACGUGCCAGCAGCCGC
rnacentral:rRNA from 1 species